rnacentral:tRNA from 1 species
CAAGACGUAGCUUAACCAAAGCACUCAGCUUACACCUGAGAGAUGUCUGCUACUACCAGAUCGUCUUGA